AAACUCCCUCCCUUCCAUGUCUCGCUCCCUUCCGUGUCUCUUCCCCAAUGUCUCGCUCCCUUCCGUGUCUCUUCCCCUAUGUCUCGCUCCCUUCUGUGUCUCUUCCCCCAUGUCUCGCUCCCUUCCGUGUCUCUUCCCCAUUUCUCGCUCCCUUCCGUGUCUCUUCCCCAUUUCUCGCUCCCUUCCGUGUCUCUUCCCCAUGUUUCGCUCCCUUCCGUGUCUCUUCCCCAUGUUUCGCUCUCUUCCCCAUGUCUCGCUCCCUUCCGUGUCUCUUCUCCAUGUCUCGCUCCCUUCCGUGUCUCUUCCCCAUGUCUCGCUCCCUUUCGUGUCUCUUCCCCAUGUCUCG